rnacentral:lncRNA from 1 species
GCCCAAGCAAAUAAGAAAAAAAAUAAAAUCCACAUAACCAAAUUCCAAGUCCAUUUACAAUGUUAAACAGCCCAAAAAUCAAAACUACCCAAUUACAAUAACUAAACCUACCCAAACCCAAUACCCAAAACCAGCCCAAAUUAGAACUACCCAAACCUAAGCAAUUUUCAGCAAAGAAAAAUGGUGAUGAACCCUAGCCGUCACCCCCCCUUGGCCACCUACGCCACUACCAGUUGU